GGGUUAAGUCCCGCAACGAGCGCAACCCUUAUCUUAAUUGCCAGCAUUCAGUUGGGCACUUUAAAGAGACUGCCGGUGUUAAACCGGAGGAAGGUGGGAUGACGUCAAGUCCUCAUGGCCUUAUGCUUAGGGCUACACACGUGCUACAAUGGGUGGUACAAAGAGAAGCCAACUCGCGAGAGCGCGCCAAUCUCAAAAGCCAUCCUCAGUUCGGAUUGGAGUCUGCAACUCGACUCCAUGAAGUUGGAAUCGCUAGUAAUCGCGGAUCAGCAUGCCGCGGUGAAUACGUUCCCGGGCCUU
rnacentral:rRNA from 1 species